rnacentral:tRNA from 1 species
GGUGUUAUGGCUCAAUGGUAGAGUGCUUGCCUUGCAUGUGUGAGGCACUAGGUUCAAUCCUUAGCACCA